rnacentral:rRNA from 1 species
CCCUUAGAUGUCCGGGGCUGCACGCGCGCUACACUGAAGGAAUCAGCGUGCUAAAACCAUUGUCGAAAGGCAUUGGUAAACCCAUUAAAAUCCUACGUGAUUGGGAUCGGGAAUUGCAAUUAUUUCCCUUGAACGAGGAAUUCCCAGUAAGUGUGGGUCAUAAGCUCGCGUUGAUUACGUCCCUGCCCUUUGUACACACCGCCCGUCGCUGCCCGGGACUGAGCCGUUUCGAGAAAAGCGGGGACUGCUGCUGUCGGGGCUUUCGGGCCUUGGCUUAGGUGGAAACCGCUUUAAUCGCAGUGGCUUGAACCGGGCAAAAGUCGUAACA